rnacentral:rRNA from 1 species
AGCGAGUGGCGAACGGGUGAGUAACGCGUGAGGAACCUGCCUCAAAGAGGGGGACAACAGUUGGAAACGACUGCUAAUACCGCAUAAGCCCACGGCUCGGCAUCGAGCAGGGGGAAAAGGAGCAAUCCGCUUUGAGAUGGCCUCGCGUCCGAUUAGCUAGUUGGUGAGGUAACGGCCCACCAAGGCAACGAUCGGUAGCCGGACUGAGAGGUUGAACGGCCACAUUGGGACUGAGACACGGCCCAGACUCCUACGGGAGGCAGCAGUGGGGAAUAUUGCACAAUGGGGGAAACCCUGAUGCAGCGACGCCGCGUGGAGGAAGAAGGUCUUCGGAUUGUAAACUCCUGUUGUUGGGGAAGAUAAUGACGGUACCCAACAAGGAAGUGACGGCUAACUACGUGCCAGCAGCCGCGGUAAAACGUAGGUCACAAGCGUUGUCCGGAAUUACUGGGUGUAAAGGGAGCGCAGGCGGGAAGACAAGUUGGAAGUGAAAUCUAUGGGCUCAACCCAUAAACUGCUUUCAAAACUGUUUUUCUUGAGUAGUGCAGAGGUAGGCGGAAUUCCCGGUGUAGCGGUGGAAUGCGUAGAUAUCGGGAGGACACCAGUGGCGAAGGCGGCCUACUGGGCACCAACUGACGCUGAGG